rnacentral:lncRNA from 1 species
UCAACAGUAGUAAGUAGUCAUAAGAAUAAUUUUAAUCUAAUGGUAUUUUUUUUUAAAGAAUCUAGAGGUCAAUUUAAAUAAGCACAGAGUAUUAACUUGAACUCCGUUUCUAAAACUCAGAAGUUCAAUCUAGCAUAGUCGUUCGUCUCGUAAUUCAAUGAAUAAUACCUAUUACCUUUUAUGAUAUAUAUUUCAUUUUAUCAUAUAAUUUGGUAUUUCCCAACUAAAAAAACUAUAAAUGUGAUUGGUUUAACUUUUCAAAUAUUUAGUUUUUAAAAAUUUGUCAAAAUAACUUUACAAUAAUAAAAGUCAUUAUUGUGUAGUUCUUUAAAAAAUUCACUAAAACGAAAAUCUUUGAUAGAGAUCUUAAGGAACCAUCCUUCCAUAAUUGACUGAACCCAAAUAAUAAUGAAAAAGAUAAAGCAAAGAAUAUGUUGGAAGCAUUAUCAUAGACUGAUUUUCUUUUCUUUUCUUUUUUUCUUCCUUUUGAAAGGAAUCAUAAAGUGAUAUUUACGGUUUGAAGCUCUCAUCAUUACAAUAAAAACAUAUGAUGUGACAUCAAAGUUCUCUUAAAACUUGCUUUAAUUGCAAUUCUUUAUUUUCUAAGCUACAAAUUACGAGUACCCAUUUGGUAAAAGGUUUGACAAUGGAAAUUUAAAAACAAAAGAUUCAAUCAAAAAUUUGUAUUUUGUUUUUCAAAUUUAUAAAUUAAAUUCUGAUUUUUUUAAAAAAAUUGAAUAUGUUCAAGACUAUAUACUUAUAAAUCAUAAAAUUUAGUCGUAUCCACUAAAUAAUCACAAAAUUUCAAAUCAAAGUUUAAACUAUAGUCUAAUAAUCAACCUAAAUUUCUUUGUUCCUUCUGAUUCCUUCCACUUCGAUCCUCUUUUACAUUUUACCUUAAUUCCUCUUCUUUGUCUAUCAUCUCAUCUUCAAUUACUGUCUUUUUCCACCUCUCCACCAUCAAAUCCGAGUUUUCUUCAUGGAUUUGUGUAUUUUGAUUUUUUGAUAGGAAUGGUUCUGUGUUACGGAACAAGGGCGUGAAGGCAAGCAAGAAGACUGAUUUGCAUGAAAGAGGAAAGAGAGAGCGAGACCUAGAGCAAGAAGCCUAAUUCGAGCUCACGAGUUCCAUUUUGAAAAUUUUAUCCAUAUGACAUUAAAAAAUGUUUUUCAUUUCCAUCUAAAUAUGAAAUUAAAAAUAGUUCGAAAAACCUCAACAAAAUUUUGAGUAAUCCCUCCACUUGACCUUAAAAUCUAAAACUCAAAAAUACAAAUGUAGCAUUUUAAAACAUAAGAAUCCAUACAAAAACUAUGCUAUCGAAGUUUAGAGAUCAACAGAUCAAAAGAUGUUUUAUUCCAAAAUAAAUGAGCUUAUUCCUUUCACAAUCACGAAUUUGUAACUAACAAUCACAACAGUUAACAGUAAGAUUAACUUUUACCAUUCAUUGGAUCAAAACUAAAAAAUAAUUAAAAAGAACCAAAAGAAUAAACAAUAAAUUUAGAGACAACCCCUAAACUUCUACCUAGUACUCCAUGCUCACAAUUUUCUUUGUAUUUCUUUUGAAUCCAAAAGCACUUUCAGCGGAGGGUGUUGCUUGAUCGAUAGAACACGACAGUCAUUGGUGGAUCAUUUCUUUUUUUAAAAAAAAAAAUUGUUCUCAAGUCACUAAGUGGAUUUUCCAGCUAUGAAAGAUCAACAUCUAAUCUAUAUUUCCUUUUUCUUUUUCCUUUUUUUUUUCCAACUUGAAAUAGUACUUCCAUUGGAAGGCUGUGAUGGAAAGAACAGCAAUCAGAUGGUUAUGGAUAAAGCCUAAAUGGCCCAUAGAGUUGUCACAAUAGCAGCACUCAUUUUGAAAAGGAAAAGCACAAACUGGCAACUACAAAUCUUUUUCCAUUGCUUUGAAUAAAAUUUGUCCAAAUGAUGAUGUGAAACACCAAGAUAUUUAAAGGGUAAAGCAUACUUAGAAUUUUCGUUUCCUUACCUUGAAACUCAUUGAUCGAACAACAUCGUCGUCUGCUUGAAGUGUUGCCUCGAGAACUGCCAUUGAUUCGGGUUUUGUGAAGUAGGUGAAAAGGAGAUUGAUGCCAUCCAAGUAAGUGUUGGUUUCACCAGCUUUGUUUUUCUUCUUGAUGCUAUAUGCUAGUGGAAUGAGCCCUUUGUUGAAUACUUCAACAUACAUUGCACCCCCAGCAACAAGCAACUGCAAAAUAGGCCAUUCUUGUCAAACACUAUGUUUAAAGAAAAACAAUACUAACUUGAUUGUCCCUUUACCAAAGAAUCACUUGCUUAUUUAAGCUAAAUUACGUCUUAAUAGAUGAAAGAAAAAGACAUGCUUCAGUCAAGAGAGAAAUCAUUCAAUCAACUAAGAUCAUCGGUUGAUGCUUACAUCAUAUAAAUCCACAGUUCGUAACUUCACUCCACAACCAGAAGUUUACUUAAUCAAGGACGGGGAGAAUUUCUGACAAUAAUGAGAUAAAUAUUACUGUGUUUUUAUCGUGACAAUGCACACACGCACAAGGGGGAAAAAAUCUUGGUAUUGCAUUCAAUGUUUUCAUGAUAAGGAGUGCAUGCUUGUAAGGAAUAUAAAAUGCAAACAGUUCCUGUAGGAAAUAAAUUGCCCAUUUAGGCAACUUUUCCUCCAAAAAUGCAAGUAACUUUCCUGCCUUUCUUGAAUGUUCUCUCAUAAAAAUUCUCAAUGCUGCCACUUGCCUCUUUACAACAAAGCAAUCAGCUAGUGCGCCUCUACAUCAAAGUGUUGCUUAACACUACAAUAUUUUUCAAGCACCAAAAGUUGGUUCAUGGAUUAAAUGUGUAACAUGAGAUCAAAAGACUAGGUGUUUAGGAUGUUGACUUGUUUAUUCCAGACUAUAAGUUUGCUGUUCUUACGAACGAUGUAAAGUUAUAUUACAUGAAUCUAUAUUUUAUAUUAAAUAUCGUAUUUAAGAAAUAAAUAAAUAAAUAGUCUAAACUCACCAACUAAUUACAAGUUACACAAACUCAAGUUUACAAAAACCGAUUCCUUUCCGUAAUACAAACAUAGGUUAUACAAAAUCCAACCUUUGUUAGGGUUCAUAAACUCACGUUUAUUGAUAGUUAAAUAUCCCUAAAGUUCAAUGAAAAAACUCUUUCAUCAAAGAAAUAAAAGAAUCCAUUCAUCCCUACAUAUUAGAUGAACAUGAAGUUACAUCUCAAAACCAAUUGGCAACAAGAGAAGUAAUGCAUACCUCUCCAUCUUUUGGUCCACCCAUUCUUGGGUCAGAUCUUUUUUUCCCCAAUACUUGAUUGAACUCCCAAUACCAUAUUAGAUAAACAUAGAGUUUUAUAUAAAAAUCAAUUAGCAACUAGAGGAGUGGCUCAUGUGUUGCUCUAUCUCUUCAACGUGAAAUUCUCACCACUAGUGUCUCCAUGGGACUUAGAAGGCUGACACAACAAAAGGUUCCCUCUUCUUGGGAACCAUACACUCAAACAGAGCAAACUACUCAUAUAUUAGAAAUUUUCAACUGCAUUUCCAUAAAAGCUACUGGUUUUCAUUAACUACGCCCUAAGUUUUCAUGAGCUAUCCAUGACUUGAAUAAUGUGAUCGGAUUCAGGCAAUGACAAUCUCCGACCUCAUUACUUCUUAUGUGGCUUAUCAGAAAGGCCGCAAGGAGUAUAUGAUCUUAAGCCCAAUUUAAACAGAGCAGCAAACUGAAUUCUCUCAGAUAUGAAACUAGUCUAAACAAAUUUCCGUUUUCCUUUGGUCUUUCGUCAGAAACCAGAGAGAACUACAGAAGAGGGGAAAGACAACAACACAGUAGCAACAUUUCAGAGAUGAUACUACCUCUUCGUAUUUCUCGGUGAAAGCGAGUCUCUCGUCUUCAGACAUGUCAGGCCUCAAAACCACCAUACUCUCGUACUUUCGAAGUCCAGGAGGGCACUGAGGCUCCUCCUUUUCUUCGAGGGCAGUGGCAAAUCCUGUUCCUGGAGGGGCAGGCGGUUCAUCCUGACUUCCGAGCCCACCUUCGAAGAACGAACCUGAAAAUUCAAGAGUUUGCGCUUUUACGGACAAUCCGAGACCCAAAGCAGGGCCGAUUCCGUAGGGAGAAAAGAGGGGUUUGGAGAGUUUGAGGGCAAAGGGGAAAGAAAUUUGAUUCGUGAAUGGGGUAAGGAAAGGGGAUUUGGAGGAGAGAGGAGAAGUUGAAGAAGUAGCGGUGAGAGUGGAAGUGAAGGCCAUGUUAUUUCGAACGAGUUCUGCUAUUGGGGCAGACUCGAAAUUCAGUGGCAACAAGGAGAUAGCAUAGUGGAAUCGUUGAAAUGAAGUAGAUAUGGAUAAGAGGGUAUACACCUUGGUGCAGGAUAAUAGAGCAUUCAAGAGGGAUGGAAACACCACAUUGAUUUUUGGUAAAAGUGUAAAAAACCCACCCACAGAGUUAUUUUUUUAAUCUAGUAAAAUCACAUUAACUGAACCCUUGUUUUUCAUCGAGUCAAUUAUGUUAACAAAAUCCACACGUUCUUGUCGAUUCUAACUACGGGUUAGAAUUUAUGUCCUAAACAAUUUAAAUCGAUAAUUUAUUAAUCAAAUUGUUAUUAAUAUUAUGAGUGAAUUGAAUAUUGUAACCUUCAACUAAGGUUUCACAUCAAUUUAAUGAGAUUUAAAGUGUAUAAAAAGACAUAAAUUUAGAUCAAAUUCAAGUAUAUAGUCUAAACGGUCCAUAAUAUAUGAAUAAAAUUGGACACUUUAUUUUAGUAAAACUAUGAAUGCAUCAUGCUUUAUAGUUAGUAUAAAUGAUGUAAUCCUGAAUCGUUCAUGUAAAUACAUGAAAACAAAAACAUCAUAUACAAAGAGUUUAUAUAAAACUGAAACCAUGAAAUAAUCAUUCUUUUGCUACAACAUCAUCUCCUUUUUAAGACCAGAUAUUUCUUUUCAUUGAUGACCUAACCUAAUCAUUAACUCCUACGCACACGAGAUUGUUCUUAGAUUUACAUAUGUAAGGGAAGACUGGAUGGAUAGUUGGAGACGUAUGAUGCAAGAAGAAAUUCACUCAUGCCUUUAUAAGAAUUAGUAGAUAAAUUGUUCUAACUCAAUCCAAGUCUUGAACAAGAAGUCUCACCUUCUCGUUGGUUCAAGAGGGAUUUAGUUUGUAAAUUGGACUUUAAACUAAUUGGUCGGAGAGAAAUUUGGUUUAAAUUAGGUUUAUGCAUGUUAACUUCUAAUAGGAUUAGAUGCAAUUAGAGUAAUUUUAAUCUCAAUUCGUCUAACAUUUUCUAUUCGAAGUUAUCUCGAUUGAGUUAGAUUUGUAAGAAUGUUAAUUCUUGUGUGAUAAUUUUAGUCUCAAUUCGAACAGAAUCUACUCAUAAUCUAACAGGCACCUACUCUUAAGCCACCUGAAUCUAGAUCCUUUAGAUAUUGCAUUAUGAGGGAUUCUUUUUUGAAAAAUUCUGAGAGGGAUUAUGUAUGUUUGGUAUUCGAAUGUUUGGUGGUUUCUAGUUUUAUUUACCUAAGCUUCAAAAUAAAAUAUGGAGUCUGUGGGUCCCGCUGUUCACAUACAAUAUCAUCAAUGGUGACUUAUCGAAUUUGGUACUCACCUACCCCAGGCAAUUGUCCCACCUCUCCUAAUUUUCAGAUGCCAUUAUGCUCAAAUGGAGUAAUGUGACAAUGAGUAGAAGUGGUAGUCAUCCCACUAAAGAUGACUAUCCUAGUUCAGCUAAAAGAUAACUCGAUCCAACAUUUUCCUUUUUUCGACCUAACCUACCUAAGUAUCACAAAUUGUUGUGCAUAACACCAUACCGAUGUAUCCUCCCUCAAUUUAGCUUGACAACUCAACUAAGACGCUCAACCAAGAUUUGAUGUGGAUUUGUGAUCAAAUUCCCACUUCAACAAGUUUAGGUUUAAACUUUUAAAUGUAUUUGCUUAGUUUAACUUUUGAAAUAUCUAAUAAAUUGUUUUAACUCUAACGACUUUUGACUUAGGCUAAAUGUGUCAAACUCUAUAAAAUUCUAAUUUAUCCAAUCUCAACUUAAAUCCAAAUAAACUUAUAAUUCAAUCGGUAUUAUAUAAAUCAGAUCAAUUAACUAUGUAAGAAGAGAGUUUUUUCGUCUUUUAAGUUCAAGUUCAAACAUGUAAAGGUAAGCGAUUAAAAUCUUUAACCUUAUAGUUGAAGAUAUAUGUUAAACUAUAUUUAAGUUGGAAAAAAAAUAAUUUUUCAUUUCAACCUAAAUAUUUAGAAUUUAUAGCACAAAAUCAUUAUUAAAGUUUUUUCUAAUCCAAAAUCUAUACCUAAACAAACUUGAGAGAUCAAUCUUUUUUGUUUAUAGUUAUACCUAUGAAUAGAAGAAAUAUAUGGGCAUGUCGGACUAGAGACCUAAAAAUGCAUUUGCGUGCUGAAAUCACUUGGUACUUAAUAUACGGAGAAUGCAUCACUAAUGUGAUAAAAUAUUAUUAAAAAAAAAAAAAGUAAUUUUCAUAUAAGGCGAGAACGAAUGUAGUUUUUCUGACCUGUGUCGUAGCCUGUAGGCGCUGCGUCGCAUAUUUAAAUAUGAAUUGGCAAGCUCAAAUUCCAAGAUCAAAACUUGGGAAUGCAUGCAUUUCUCUUUCGUAUGUAAUCUCUUCGCAGAUUUUCCCUUCGUCGUCGUUGACAAGGCUACAAGCAGUAGAGUCACUUCUCCUAGGAAUUGAAUUUCUGAGAGAAAUACUUUCGGCCUCCACAUGGUCUGACCGAAGAAGCUAAGCAAACAUUUUGGAAAGGAAUAAAACCAGAGCCAAGACAUGAGAAACUUACUAAAGAUCUUAUAUGGCAAUCAUCUAACGUACAUUCGAUGUACACGAAAGAGAAAUUUAACCACCUUGCUGGACUGUCCGAAUUCACCAUCUUCUGUCAAUGUUUCGGCAUUACCAGUGAAUGUUGCUGCAGGAUCAAGGUAUACACAAAUCCGUGAUUAGGCUCGACAAUGUCAUAGUAAAAUUACAAAAUUUAGACUUAAACUGAACUGCAUUUGCACGAGAUCACAUUGAGUUAGAGCAAUGGAUUGGCUGUUUUCUGUAUUCUUAAUUGAUUCCCUCGUGUUCUGUCCUUCACUUGGUUUUUGAUGAGAUUGGUAAUCUUUAGGAAGAUGCAAUGCCUCCGCAAGGGAAGGUUUAGGGUUACGUGACGAAACAGAUACGCUAAUAUUUUCAUCUGUAUGACCGGAAGAAAGGUUCACUCUACCCCUUGGUCUUUGAAGAAUGGACAAUAUUUGAUGGGCUUCAUGAUAUAAAACAAAAAAAUAUUUAGUUAAAAGGGAACCAAGCAAAAACCAGUAAUGAGUUCAGACAGAAUUCAUAAAGUAAGCAUUCGCAAACCAUCCCGUAAAGACUUUUGCGUAGUCUCCCUGCCCGAUCCAUUUUCAUCUCCACCAGAAAUGCAAAAACUUGCGUCCUUUCUAAUAUCACAUUUUCUGUCGCCGAGCUCUACUGAAUUUGACCAAAGGUUGCAUAGCAAGCCAGAAAGAUUAUUAGAUAGAUAUACAAACAUUGGUUUAGAAACUAUGUGUUACAUAAGCAUUGGACCUUUGACACUUUCGCAUGCCUCGCCAAUCUCCACCAAGUAUUUUGGUAGCUCAAGUUUCUCCCCCACCCUCACAUUUUUAGAUAAACUUAAGUGUUUACGGCUUAAUAUGUUUCUAUCUUCAUUCAGUAAAGUAACCUGAAAUAAUUGUAAGAGUUAGUCUCAUAAAAAAGAUAACAAGAAACCCUUGCAACUCAUCAGAUUUAUUUUUAUAAAAAAACUGUAGAUCGGGUUUAGGGUAUCCUAUCCUAAAUUUUCCACCUUUCUUGUACAUCGGCUAUACAAUCUAAAUUUGCAUUCAUAGUAAUCGAACAACUGUAGAACUUUAUAAUGAACAGCAUGCCCCAGAAGUGAUCAAUUAAUUGAUAGCAGCUGAAAUUUUGGGUACACUACCUAUUGUUAGAGUAAGACAUCAGUACUUCUGAUGUUCUUUUUUAACAAUCUACGUUGUACCUUUAGGCAAGUAUCCAUUUGUAUCCAUCGGAUCAAAAUUUCUGUUUGGCUUAUGUAAACAGUUCAAUUGAAACAUGAAACUCAUAUUGUGUACUAAAACUUAGAUUCGAGGGGGAAGGGAGUGACCCAAUAGUAAUGUCGUACAACUGAAAAACAGAAAGCAGUUAAUAUGGUGUUCAAUGCAAAGUAAAUUAACCUGCAUUUGGUGAGAACCAGAUGAGGAAAUUUUGAUGAUCCCAUUAUGAUAUUUCUUGGACUUCUGAGUUAUCUGACUAGUGUACAAAACAUUCCAUUCUGCACUAAAACACUAAACAUGUCUAAGUAGAAGCACAACGAGAGAAAUACAGACUUCAUGAUACUUUAUGGCCGAAUGAGCAAAAAGAUGAACGAUGCUGAAAUUUCAUCUACAAUCAUUAUGUGACAGAAAUUAAUGUAGCAAAAACAGCUGACCUUUUCCAGUUGAUAUUUCAUUUUCACUGAAACAGCUUUUCUGUCCAUGGAGUACGCUUGCUCCCCCUUCUUUAGAACUAGUACCUUCAUUUAAGGGAAUUUUAGAAGGCUUAUGGUCCUUUUCACAUUCUCCAAUUUCUACUAAAUGAGCAUCAAAGGCUAUUGAUUCUCCAGAUUUUACUGUUUCGUGCUUCUUAAUAAAUCUGCUGUCCAAUAGUUUCCUGUUUUCAUCAAAGAGCAUGACCUGCAGAAAGAAAGACCGAGAGAGGUACGGCAGAAACUUUACUUUUCAAUUGAAUAUUUUCUAAGGGUAAGAAACUGCUUUGAGAAACGUAUGGACUGCAGGGGCAUACAAAAGAAUAAGGGAGUCCGACUAAGUGUGUAGAAGGAUUCCAGUCUAAAAGAACAAAACUAAAAUCAUAACUACAAAAGGUAGAGACGGAUUCCCACAAAGACACAUUAAACACGACCACCUCCCAAACCUCACUGAUAUCUUGACUUCCCGUCGAAUAUUACUGUUCCUCUCAAACUCUUGGCCUACCUUUCAAUUGAUUAUUGAUCAACAGUUCAUCGUGAUGACAUAUACCCCCACAAAAAGCUCUAAUAUAUAAAAGUCACAAAUUUAAUAGUUAACAAAUAACCAAGAAGUAUGGUAGGCCUAAUAAACCAGAUAAUUUAAGCAAACAACCGAGAAGUUAACCUGACUCCCGAGGGAUCCACAAAUAGAAAGUUUUAAGAAACCGUCGUGGAACUUCUUAGCUUUCUGAGUAAUAUUUGUGGUGUAAAGGACCUGCCACUCUACAAAUAUCAUAAGAUUAAUCAUGUGAGGAUAGGGACGGGAUAAAAUAAAUUGGUUAGAUAACAAAUUUGACUCUUUGAGGAAUGUAAAUAUGCUUUAAAAAACAUAUUAGGGGCAGUAGUUGAUUUUAUUAACUGUUGUUAAUUAAUUUAUUUUGUCAGACGUACAUAAUGAACUGACGUAUCCAACAUACAGGGUACUUUCACAUAUUUCAAUUACAAUGUUUUCUCGAGACAGCAGGACUCAUAUUAAUCGCCAUUACGCUCUACUUCUAUGGCAUAUUUUCCUCCUUCGCUAAUUAAAAAGAUCGUGACGAUUUAACAAACCAGGAAAAAAAUCGUGGACUAACCUGUCUCUUCUGUCUUUCUAGUGUCUAGACUAGUUUGUGGCGAUCCGUAGCACUUCAAUCUUCUCUUCUUAAAUUCUGGGGUGUAAAGGGAAUGACAAUGUUACAACCGAAUCUAAAGUACAUUGGUACAAGCAUGAUGAGAAUAAAUGGUAAUCACCAGUAAGAUUACAUCUACAGCCCAAGUUAUGAUUCGAACUGCUUUAAACAAGCAAUUGGAAGAACGAUAUAAUAACAGAAAUGGUGCAUUAGCCAAAUAAUGGAAGUUACCUCUGAUUAUUUGUUGUGAAGGGCUGAAACUCGGCCGAGUUUUAUUCUUCUCUGCACCUGCUUUGUUUUUGAAGUAACAAACAAGAGAAUAAUACAUCAUAAUCCAAUCAGUAAGAGAAUUGAACUUAAUCCCCUGCUCAUUAAUGAUGGAAAUUUCAAAAAAAAAAAAACGAAGGAAGAAAAACUAGGCUAAUUACCAGAGCAAACUGAGUUAUUUAGGAUACUUUUCCCUCGGACCACACCAGAAUUUUCAGAUAUCUUAUCAUCACCUUCUUGGAAAUUCAGACCAGACUCCGGCUUCUGAUCUCCUAGUGGAGUGUCAAUGUCAACUAGAAAACUGUUGAAUAUAAGCGUUUCGCCAGAGCAAAUUACUUCAUCUUGCUUUAACAUUCUACAUUCGAGGAGCUUCUCGCACUCAUCAUAGAGCAUUGUCUGUGAGUCAAUCUAGCCAUUAGAACAAAUCCACUAGGCUAACAAUUAAAAUGAGAAACAUAAAUUUGGAAGAAUCAACCAAAUCAGCACAAUGUUAUCCCAAAUCAAAAUCAAAACCACACAAACCAACUAUCGAAUCACAUCUCAACAAUUCUAAAGCUCUAAAUCCAAUUCUAGGAUUCAUCGCCACUAAUGCUAGUUAAUGCCAUACUUUCCUGUCCAAAAUCGCCGAAAUUCGACACGUUCUUCUGCAGAAUUACAUAUCUACAAGUCCAAUAAAAAGAUGUGUAGUGAAGUAAAAGCGUGAAUGAAAUAGAAACCUUGUUGCUGGAACGGUGGAUGUCUAAGAAACCAUCGUGAUAAACUUUGCGCUUCUGCUUAAGGUGCUUCGUAUAGGUCACCUUCCAUCGAUUCGUUAUUUCUCCCAUUGCCUGUGCUUCUUCUUCUCUCUCAACCUCCUCACAGAUCAAAUCAGAUCAAACUCACUGAGAUCGUCUCUUGCAAUUGCAGCGAAUAGAGUUGAAUUUCGUCGAGGAAUUCCUUGUGGCGGGAAAUUAUCCGUCCGACGAAAAUGACCUCCCCGCCCGCCCGCUGAUUUCAAGUAAAAAAAAAUCGAAACCUCCUUUUUUUUUAAUCUAAAAAAUUUAUAUCUCACAAUAAUAAUUCGGUAAAUUUAAAUUAAAGUUAUUUCUUGAUAUAACUAAAUAAAUCAAAAUAUAAAUAUAUAACUAAAAUAAAUUGUAAUAGAUCAAAAUAUAAAUAUAUAACUAAAAUAAAUUGUAAUAGAUCAAAAAUAUAAGUAUAUAACUAAAAUAAAUUGUAAUAGAUUAAGAUAGAUAGACUAUUAUAUAUGUCUAUUUGUAUUAUCAUAUGUUAGUAAUUUAUCUCAAUUGUGAUAUUUUCUUGUAUGUGUAAAAAAAAAUAUAACUUUUUGUUCUUUUAAAUGUUUGUUUUUUAUUAUGAACAACAAAGGAUACACUUUAACACUCUUGAGCAAAUUUCAUUCAACAAAUAUUAUGAAAACACAACAGUUUGAUUAAUGUUAAGUCAUAAAUUGAACUUUUAAGUGAAGAGAGAUUGCAACGUUUUAAAAUUCCAACUAAGUAUAACAAAAUAUGUUCUAAUAAAGCUAACAAAAAAUGUGAAAAAAUACAAUUAUACUUUUAACUUUAAGAGUUAUAUCAUAUAUGGGACACCCAAUAAUAUUACAUGGGAUUUUUUAUGCAUACAAAAAUAACCCAAAACUAAUCAACAAUAUAUUCAUCUAAAAAAGUUAGAAAUAUAUAAUUAUUUUGAUCAUUCAUAAUGUAGUACUCUUUCUUCUAAUAUGUGAUUGGAGUGCACAUGUGAUUUCAUUUAUUAAUAGAGAGUUAUGAUAGAAAGCCUAAUCACUCAGGCUUGGUUGAUUUUUACUUCACCAAAAUUAAUUAUGGGUUUAUCACAAUCGUUUUCAAUAGUAUUGGAUUAUUUAAGUUUUGUACUUUUUUUAGCAAGCUCAUAAGCUGGGGUUUCAACGGCUAUCUAUUGCAUUAUUUGAUAUCUUAAAUUAUAUUUCUAAUAGAUCAUCCACGAUAGAUAACGAUUAUGUUAUUUGAUAAUUUUGUGAUUCACUAUCAAAUUAAUCCCUUUUAUAUAUAUAUAUUAAAUUAAUGACAUGUGUGUUCAUGCAGAAUUGUAAUUUUGCGGUUUCUUCGAAAACCUCGAUGCAGAAUCAUAGGUUCCUCAAUAAUCAGUUACAUCCGAUCUUUUCAUAAUUCAUCAUUCAACAAUUAAUGACACGUAGUUCUUAAUUAGUUGAGAGUUACAAUUUUAUAAACAUGGCUUAUCUAAAUAAAUUAAUAAGACCGAGAUUAUCGAUAAUGAUCAAUACAAAUCUAAUGAGAUAACACAUAGGGAGGCAGCCUAAGUCAACAAAAUAUAGAUGAGAGAUAAAGUUGGUAAGAUAGUGAUAGUUUGCACAGUCCCAACAAAGACUUGUAUGGUUACAACAUUAAUGUAUAAAGAAUUUAAAGAGCUAUUCAUGAAUUGAUGGGUUAAGAAUAUAACUUCCAUCAUAUUUUACGCAACAACACCUAAAAUGCAAUUUUUUUCUUGGGUCUAGUUUAUGUAUCUCUCUUAAUAAAGACGACAACAUACAACUCAAAGAAUCUAAUUACAAUCAAAGUCAUAGCCCCCUCUGAGGAUAUAAACAACAAUGGAAGGAAAAUAUUUAUCUCCAAAACUUAAAAAACGAAGGUCACUAGAAGAAGAAGAAGACGCCAAAGUUGUUUGAUCAUGAAAAUGUUGUUCUCAAACCUUUGAUUCCUCCACAUAAUAUUAAGAGUUCAAAUUCAACUAUUGAUAAUUUAGGGUUAGUUAAUACAAGAAUUUUCUUUUGUCUCAAACAGAGUAUAGGUAUGAAGGUUAAUCAAUUUUAUUUUUAAUUUAAAAUUUUGUAUAUAUAUGAUAUGGAAGUGUUCUUUGAGGUUUUUAAAAGAUGAAAAAUAAUUCAACCAAUGGUGACACCUACUGCCCUUUUUGAGACCCCUUUGAAAUCUAGCUAACUUCAAAACAAAUUAAACCAUUCCUAAAGACUUUUGUUUUGCAAAGAUAUUUUACCCUAAAACACACAAAGUUCAACCAUUUUGUUUCCUGAUAAAACAGUAGCAGUUUUCAAAUUUUCUUUAAGAGUGACAAACUAUCCACAAGCAACCCCCAAAUCCAUACACUAACUUCCGUGAUAACUUGUGGAUAAAUAAGUAAAAAGUCAUAAUCUAUACACUAUAACUCUAUGAGAAUCUUUAGAAAAGAUAUGAUAAAUCUUAGGUUUGAUGUAAUAUAUAUUUCUCGUGUUAGGUAAAAUUGUGAUAAAGACAUAAACAUGAAUGAAUUAAGAAAUUUGCACUAUAAAAAAUUACAUUAUUUUAAUUGCCAUUUUAAUUUCUAGAAAUUUGUUAUAUUAAAAUAAAAUUAUUUAUUUUCCAUUCACCACACAUAUGUUAUGGGAUAAUAAUUUCAAAUUUGAACACUUAAAAAUUCCAAGAAUAUACUGAGAGAAAAUCAUCCAAAAUGUAGAUCAAAAUGCCUUUUAUUUUUCCCUCUCUUUUCUUGUCAAGGAAAAAAAAAGACCCCCAAAAGAAAGAAAAAAGAAAAAAGAAAAAAAACCCAAACCCAAACCACAAUUAUUAUCAUUACUUUUUUGCUUAAGUAAAAUAAUAAUAACAAUUAGGUUUAUUCAUGAAAAAGAAAAACCAUAUAAUUCCAAAAUCUCUUCUUUUUUUAAAUAAUGAAUUGGGUUUUUACGCAUCCAACUCAUCCAAGCCGGCGCCGUCCGUCGGGCGAUCAGGCCUUCCGGGUUGCCGUCGUGUCAGAAAUAGGGGUGGUUGAAGCUCCGCCAUUAGCAGUCUUUUCCGGUAGAGAGACGGCGCUGUUGACGACGACUUCAGAGAGAUGAAUUUGGGCUUUUCGUUCGGCGAUUUGGCGUUGAGUUGAUUUGUAAAAGGUGGCGUAGAGAAUAAGCUGAACGAGGGCCGACAAUGUCCCGAGGCCGUUGGGGACCUGAAAAUACGCCAUUAAUGUAAUUUUGAGGUCAGUAGUUUUUUUGGGCAGAAACCAUGGCGGAUUUAAGUGAAAGAAAAGAGAAUUUAUUAUUUCUCAAUAAUUCUCUUUCAACAUAAUUUGUUAAAUUUUCGUCCGAGUACGUUGAAUUUUAGUCUUUCAACCUGAAUUUUUUUGAAACUGAUUAAACAAAAAAAAUAAAAUUUAAGAUGUUAUUCAAAAUAAAGAGACUUUAAUUUUUGGACAAUUAAUUUUAUAUUUAGUCAAUUGAAGUUGAAGUUAUUCCUUUUUUUAUCGAAACUUAUUAUACAACUCAAAUAAUUUUCAUGCAAACAUUAAAUAUGUGAUUUUAAAAUAUUAUACUGAAAAUAUUAAUAAAUAAAUAAAGAUAGAAAGAUUAAAAUGAACAAAGUACUUUGGAAGAUGAUAGUGUGAAUUUUUUUUUUUUUUUUGCUUACCGUGAUGAAGGGGUCGAAACGGAUGCAAGCAUAAGCAGUCCAAACGAUACCGUUUGCUAAUGAAGCAAAGGAUAGAAAAAAUGGCAUAUAUUCCACACUUUUUGUCUUAAUCACCAGUUUCUGCAUCACACAAUUUAACGCAUUAUUUUAAUUCAGUAAUUUAGUAAAAUAAAAUUAUAAAUUAAGAACCCUCCACUGCAAAAAAAAUUAAAAAAAAACACAUGUCGAUUAUUUUAAAUAAUCAAUCAUCCAAUCAUUAAUAAUUUGAAUUGAAACUUGAUAUUCAAACAUUCAAUAUUCAUUUAUGAAGAUUCAUUAGACAAUAAAUUAUUGACCCACUAGAUAUUCAUUUUAAAUCUCAGCUUAAUAUUCGAGAUAGCAAAGGGGAGAGGACAUUAUACUAACCAUGACGGUCAAGGGUGAAGCAUACAUCAUGAUGUUAAAGAGAAUACAAACGGUCCCGACGAUAGCGGAGCGGCGAUGGUAAGUAUGAGCCAAAGUGAGAACCAAG